rnacentral:tRNA from 1 species
GCGCCUGUGCCGGAGUGGUCUAACGGGUGGGUCUCAAGCUUUGAGAAAAGAGCUUUCCCAUAGCGAAAGCUGCGUGAGUUCGAACCUCACCGGGCGUA